rnacentral:rRNA from 1 species
UACAGAGGGGGCAAGCGUUGUUCGGAAUUACUGGGCGUAAAGCGUGCGCAGGCGGCUUUGCAUGACAGAUGUGAAAUCCCCGGGCUUAACCUGGGAACUGCAUUUGUGACUGCAAGGCUGGAGUGCGGCAGAGGGGGAUGGAAUUCCGCGUGUAGCAGUGAAAUGCGUAGAUAUGCGGAGGAACACCGAUGGCGAAGGCAAUCCCCUGGGCCUGCACUGACGCUCAUGCACGAAAGCGUGGGGAGCAAACAGG